rnacentral:miRNA from 1 species
ACAAUAUCCAAACCCGUUUCACCAUAUAGGUUUUAUCAAUGGAUCCAUUGAUAUCCAUUGAUAUCCAUUUGUCCAUUGAUAAAACCUAUAUGGUGAAACGCGUUUGGAAGGGAAG